GACGAACGCUGGCGGCGUGCUUAACACAUGCAAGUCGAACGGAAAGGCCCCUUUGGGGGUACUCGAGUGGCGAACGGGUGAGUAACACGUGAGUAACCUUCCCUUGACUUCGGGAUAACUUCAGGAAACUGGGGCUAAUACCGGAUAGGAAUCCUUGCUGCAUGGUGGGGGUUGGAAAGCUUCGGCGGUUUUGGAUGGACUCGCGGCUUAUCAGCUUGUUGGUGGGGUAGUGGCUUACCAAGGCUUUGACGGGUAGCCGGCCUGAGAGGGCGACCGGCCACAAUGGGACUGAGAGACGGCCCAGACUCCUACGGGAGGCAGCAGUGGGGAAGAUUGCACAAUGGGCGGAAGCCUGAUGCAGCAACGCCGCGGGCGGGAUGACGGCCUUCGGGUUGUAAACCGCGUUCAGCAGGGGCGAAGCUUGUGGUGACGGUACCUGCAGAAGAAGCACCGGCUAACUACGUG
rnacentral:rRNA from 1 species